rnacentral:misc_RNA from 1 species
GAUGCCGCAAAGGUCUCUGGGUAUGCAGAGGGAGCCAUAUUUUUCCAAUAUCAGUUACGCGAAAACAGCGCACGUAUAGUAAUCGCAGGAUGGGAUUUUUAUCGGUUCUUGGCAGCGAUAGUCGGUAGAACGCGUGUAACAGCUCGGGCCUUGGUGGCCUUGAUGCUUUUAAAGGUGUUGUGAAUUAAUAAUUGAGAACGUCGUGUGUGUUGUCAGAGGAAUUGGUGUAUCAGACGAUCAAGAAACAAAGUGUGGUUAAUAUUAUAAUAUAAAGGAAAAAAAAAUUGAAGCGCUGUUGGCCCGCGCAGGUGUUCAGAGAGUACGAGAGAGGGUUAGUUAACUUAACCCAAGAUCGGGACUCGUCGACUACAACUAUAGUGGUGGUGUGGUAAGUGGAGAGAUGGUGUUGUAGUGGCAAUGGAGAUGGUAGUGUCGGUGCUGCUGGUGUGACGAUGACACAGACGUCAUAACACGACAUUCGUCCGUUCGUGUUGCGUUUUAACGUUUCAUCUCGCGGACGUGUGUUUCGUCCUUAAUCAAAUUAAAAAUAUUAAUUAUAUCUAUACAUUGUGACCUUCAUAACUUACAAAAUUUACCUCUAUUUAAAUUCAUGUGUACACUACUUGGAUUAUGUGCAAAAAUUUUCAAUUUGAAAUAAAAAAAGAAUUAUUAGUGAUGAGUGUCGUGUAUUUUCAAUUCUUAAAUAACACACCGGUGUUUGUAUUUCUACAGUUGCGUCCUUGAGUGAGCAUCAAAAUCGAUUUUACUCGCGUCGUAGUUGGUUUAUUUACUACGUGUUUCGAAUUAGCUCGAGAAAGUGAUUUUAUUAGAGAUAAGAAAAGAAAAACAGUCGUGUUUUGGUGACAAUCUCAAAAGUGUACUGGUGAACUAAGUGAAGAGAGUGGUGUGAACUGUAAUAAUAAGUGCAAUAUUACAUUUCGGAUUAAACACUCGCGUGUGUAAUGUCAACGGGAUUCGCUCAACACGAUUCAGUUCGUACAUAUGCAUCCAAUGCACGGUACAAGCUGUUACGCCAUAGAGGAUGCCGCAGGGGCUAGUGGAGUAUUGGAGGCGUGCGCUGUAUGUUCCAGUGAUGUCGGUGGCGCGGCACUUUUCACUGCUGGACCUGGACCAUGGCCGGCAAGCCUGAGCAGCCCAUCUCUCACCCUGCUCCCCAAAAUCACGUUCAUCAGCAACAUUAUCAACAGCAUCACUCUUUACAUAUACAAACACAUCAUCAUCACCAUCAUCAUAAUCAAAUUAAUCGUCGAAAUCAUCAACAGGAACAUCAGCAAAUAUCUCAACACGAGCCUCAAAGUAUCCAACACAAUAGCGUGUUGGUCUAUGUUCCUGGCGAGAACUUUGCUUAUACAACAGCCGUAGGGCAUAAUGCUGAAACAUCGACAAGUUAUCAAUCGGGUCAGCAGCAGCAACAAAAUCCUUACCAAGAUGUGCUACCUCAGGUGGCCACACAACCAACAUUUCCAACCAAGAUUAAUUUUAUCAACAACAGUGAAUUAGAUAAUGAAGUUAAUCCUAAUACUGAUUACUGUCUUGGAAAAACUUUAGAGCUGGUCUCUUGCGAUGUUGUUGUUAAUCAACAGCAACAUCAAUCAACAAAAGAGGAGGAAGAAUUUAAUACUAAUUAUCAAAGCUCUUUGGUGAGUUUGACGAAUGGGAGAGUAGUACCCUCUCCCAAUUCCGUGGAAAAAAUAGAUUUAGGCACUUUGGGAAAUAUUUCUAGCGGUCUUGGAGGUUUAAGAAGUCCAACACAUAGUGAUGCUGAUAGUCUUAGUGGCACCAGUGAUUCAGGGGUAGCUACAACAUCAGUAAUAUCAAGACCUGCAUUGUCUAAUAAUGCUGUAAUAGUUGGUGAGCAAGAUCCAAAAACUUUUUCAACUCAUUACGAAGUCACGUGCAAUUCUGGCUAUUCAACUUCUCGCUUAUCAGAAACUUAUCAAAACACUGGAACAGGAGGGGCAGGAAAUGAAACUGAUUGUAUUAAUACCGGUAAUCUUGAUGAAAAUAGAAUCACUUAUGUUAGUCAAAACGUAGGCAGUCAACUGUCUACUAAUGUAUUCCUUGGUGGAACUCAAGAGUUAAUUGAUCCACAAAAGCAAAGAGAUAUUUGUAAGGAAAUUCGGGUGAAUAAUCAAGAUUCAUUGGAUCUAAAUAGUCGAACUGAACAUAGUGUCAUUACUACAGAUCCUGGGUGCGAAUCGGUACGUUCAGAUACUGCGGAAUCUGCUUAUUCUAGCAGCCUUAGUAGCCCUGAGUGUCAAAAUUUACAAUCUAACGAAUCAGUGAACAAUAAUAGUGUCUGUGCGCAGCCGUCUGCGUGCUUGGUGCCUCAAGUUAGCGCGCAACACAGCAACAAUGUUGCGCUGACUAUGAACGGUAGUGUGGUGACGCAGAAUCAACAAAAGCAACAGCAACAGGCGUCCAUUGCUGCACCUCGCGGAUGGAAGAGGAUAUGCACCGACCGGGUCAUCAUAUAUAUCAGUCCAAGCAGCACGGCGCUGAGGUCGCUCGAUCAGCUCAAGGAGUACCUGACAACCGCGGGCACUUGCAAGUGUGGACUAGAGUGCCCGCUUAGGCCUGAACAAGUCUUCAGUUUCGAUCCCAAGGUAGCGACACGACCUUGGAGUCCAGAUCAAGGAAAGACGCGGGAGAUGACCAAGCUUUGCAACCAUAAGAGGAAACUUUUGUUGCCUGUGGCUGCAGCAAGUCCAAUUGCCUCGUGUACACCAGUUGUCUCUUCUUCCACUUUACCUGUACAAGGACCUCCCGGAAUCCUUGCGAGUGCUGAUUCGCCAACUUCAUCUGACAAGUCAAAAAAAGAUGGCCUGAAUAAAAAGAAAAAAAGGAAGCUUGGAAGCGUGGGAAAUCUUUACUCAGGAGUGUCAGUGUCUCAACUUAUUGCGCAAAGAGAACGAGCUAUUGCUGUGGCAGGCGCCACGGGAGUUCAGGCAUUGCCGUCUUCCAACGGCUCUCAGGUUUGGCCAAUGACUGCUCUGCCAAUUCAGCAAAAUAAUCAACAAAUCGGUCAUCAAUUACUCAAUUCCCCUUCACAAAAUCUUGACUCUAACGCUUGUGUCGUGCGAAAUCCACAACAAAGGCUGAAUCCUCACAAUAUGACGAGCAUGUUGAUGGGUAAUCCGUUGAUCAUGAAUCAACAGGGUACAAACUUUAACAAUAUGAGUCAACAACAGCAACAGUUGAUAUUACAACAACAACAACAACAACAGCAGCAGCAGCAGCAGCAGCAACAACAACAACAACAACAACAACAACAACAACAACAACAACAACAGCAGCAGCAACAACAACAACAACAACAACAACAACAACAGCAACAACAACAGCAGCAGCAACAACAACAACAACAACAACAACAAUUAAUGCAGCAACACAUGACUCAACAUCAUCAAAAUGUCAUAACUAAUCAAUUAUCUCAUCAACAAUCACCUCAUUAUAUAAAUCAAAUGAAUGAUCAGUCAGUUCAUGCGAUGCAACAGCAGCAUAUGAAUCAACAACAGAUGCAUAUUCAACAAAUGCAACAAAAGCAUCAACACCAGCAAGAAAAUCAACAAGUUAAUUUUAACCAUCAUGUCAAUGAUAAUUUUCUACAUCAUUUACAGGCUAAUCAGAAUUCUUCACAAAAUCAAAUUCAUGCUCAAAUGCAUCAAAUGCAUCAGCACUCGAUGCAAUAUCAACAACAAUCAAACCAACAUAUGAUGCAAAAUCAAACGCACGAUCAAUUUCAUAUGCUCCAGCAUCAACAGCAACAGCAGAUGUCUCAGGUUUGCCAGCCAAUGCAAUUUAAUCAUCAAACAAUGAGCCACCAUCUAGGUGAUAUAUCUCAACCGACAAAUAAUGGCUCUUUGAUGUCCGGAAUCAAUGCGACUGAUGGUCAAGUGAGACACAAUCGAAUUCCUUCCAUGGAUGAAGACAUGAACGCAAAGCAAAUGUCGCAACAACACCAACAGCAACUAAUGAUGCAUAAUCACAACAUGCAAAGGCAUCAUGUACAGAAUGGAAGUAUGCAGAACCUUAGUCAUGAAAAUAUGCAACGAAUGUAUGUUCAACACCAAGUAUCGCAAUUCCAACAAAGAAGUUGUGACCCUAAGACAUCGAAUAUGGAGUUAAAAUCAGGACAUCAGCAGUACAUGUUGGUUAGUCAAGCAGGAAGGAGUCCAACUAGUGGAAAUACUGUUGAUACUCAAGCCAUCAACGGAAAUGGACAGAAUGGACAGACUAACAAUCAUCAUUUCAACCAAAGGACACAAAUGUGGCAACAAAAUCGAACUAUUACUCCAUCGCAUCAAUCUCCGUCAUCAGUAUCAGUUCAAAAUAUCACAUGUAAUAGCCUAGAUCGUGUUCCACCUCUACAUCAUCAUAUUCCCCCAACUACUCCCUGGACGGAUGAAAUAGCAAGAAAGAAAGCAAAACCGAGUAAAUCUUCAGGCAAGAAACAAAGACAUCAACAUAUGGAGAUGAGAAAUAAUCUUGAACAAUCUAGUCCAAGUCCGGAUGAUGAUUUUAAUGAUAAAUCACAAACUAAUAAUCAAAUUGGCUCUACCGUAAAUAAUUCUCCCAGUUUUCUGGAUGAUCCUAGUGGGUAUUUAGCCCAACAAACGGCUUUAUUAAAUAGUACAAUAUCGAGACAAACAGGUGUCAGUUCGUCGCAAAUGAUGGUAAAUACAUCUAAGAUACAAGGAAAUCAUGGAAAUAAUUAUCUUCCUCAACAAAAGCCUUCCUCAGCAACAAGUCCAUCAAAUUCGAUGUGUAAUUCUGUCAAAAAUCAUGCAACAUCACCAGUAGUUGUGCAUAGCAGUAUGACACCAACGUCUCUAAAUAACAAUACUAAUGAUUCAGAUAAUAGUUCUUGCCAAGGCUGUGUUACGAGUGCUGAUACUCAAUCUUAUAUCACCGAACAAUAUAAACAACAAAUGCAUAGACAAUAUAUCAUGCAUUCUGAUCAAAGAGAUGAUCCAGUUACAUCAUCGACAUUUGGAGAAAGAUUUACGAAUCAACAAAUGGAAUCUUGGCCAAUUCAAGGUGGAACAAUAAGCACAAGUCAUGGAUCUCCAAUUGGUACCAACAGCCCAGCCAAUUCUGACAUUCCACCUUCAUCAAUAUCUCAACCAGCAACUCCACAAAGUCUUAUUUCAUCUCAACCAUCGACGCCGCACAGUUAUUCCCAACCUCCCACGCCUCAUUCUCAUUCCGGGCAAAUUCCACCACCUCCAUUGACUCCAGUUAAUGGCCAGCAACCAUCACAAUCUACUAUUUCUAACAACAUUAUAACUCAGGAUCAAUUAUCAGGUCUCUGUUCUAUUUCAUCAGCAUCGAGUUCUGUAUCUCCAAGCUCUUCUCCAUCACAAAUUGCUAUCUCUUGUAUUUCUGGUCCAACAGAGAAUGCUUCUGUCGUUUUAUCGAAUGGAAAACAAAAACAAUCUACUCUGGAAGGUUAUCAGCCUCAUCCACACACGCUCAAUCCAAUUCAACGAAUUACAAUCAUCCCAUAUUCUGGUAAUGCGGCUGUCAUCACUACGAUGGCAAGUGGACACACAUUUAGUUCCAAUACUAUAACAUCUGUGCUUGCUGGAAAAGCCAAUACUGCUACAGUAUCGAUAAAUACACCGUCAGGAAUUCCUAAUCCAGCUAUUCCAAAUAUUUUAGCCAAUAAAGCACAACAUUCUUUACAGCAAGCAACAGCUUCAACAAAUGUUGUUGUAUCAUCUUCAACAGUACACCAAUCUUCUGUACCUUCAGCUUCUUCAACUCAAUCACAAAGUACAGCAGUAUCAAAAUCUCCACUAGAAAUGGUACAAAGCGUGGUUUCAAGUAUUCAAGUACCUCAAGCAAGUACUGGAUCGACAAUUCAACAGCAGACUCACCAACAGGAUCAACAAUCUAAUGUACACGUUCAAAAUGUUUUGGCAUCUGGAAGUGUAUUGAAGCAGUCAAGUGGUUCUACUCUUCCUCCUGGCCAUAUUCUUGUUUCUAGUGGUGGACAAUUAAUUAUGGCCAGUACAGGAUCAGGAAUAAGUGGCGUUAUGGCUCCACCACCACCUAAAAUUAUUUCAAAUGCCAGUUCCAUGCCACCUUUAUCGGUGUCUCCAAUGGUAACGAGUGUCACUGGUACCGUAAGCCAAGUGAUUCCAGCUGUUGGAGUUGCGCAACAGGUUAUUGGACAACCAACAGUCCUAGUUAAUACUAUUCAAACUCCUGUACUUAUUCAACCUAGUGUUAUGACAAUGGAUGGUAUUGGACAAAACGUUCAAAUACCACAUCUUACUGUUGCUGCUGGAAAUGUUUUACAGAAUGCUCAGUCUAUUAUUGAAGCUAAUCAAGAUGUCACAAGAACUGUUACCACUAAUCAAAGUAUUGUCAACAGACAGCCAACUUUAUUGUCUCCAGAGUCUGCAAUUAGUAAGAAGAAAGUUUACAAAAAACGUAAAAGCAAUUCUCAAACUGUUGCUUCGAUGCUUCACAUUGCUUCCUCACAACAAAAUACUGGUAUGCUGAUGCAGUCACAGUCAAAUUUCGCUCAGCAGAAUUUCCAGGCUCAAAGUAUUGGUGGUCCAAUGCUUCAAGCACUAACAAUUGUACCUGGAAAAGGUGGAGCACCAGCACAAUUAGUAAUGAAUGGCCAAACUGGUGCUACAUCAGCACAAUUUAACACUCAACAAAUUAUUACGAAUCCUCAACCUGCUCAGCAAAUUAAUCUACUACAACCGGUUAAUUUGCUAAAUGGUGCUACAGGAAUGGUACAAAAUUUCCCAACGAUUCAACAGUUUAUCGUUCCAGGACUAGGAAGCAUGGUAAUGUCUGCAGAUGGUACUGCUACAUUGCUUCAAGAUACGGGUAAUCUUGGAAUGCAACUUCAAAUCCAAAAUGUCAAUGGCCAGAAUGUUCUUACACCUAUCCAAAGUCACAGCGGAAUCUUCAGUCCAAGUCAAAGUAUCCUUGCUGCAGGUCCAGCAGGAAUGGUCAUAAGAGCACCACAAGCGGCUGGAGGUAAAAUUAUUCAACAGCAUAGUCCUGGCGCUCAAUUUCUUUCUUCGAAUAGCGGACAGUUUUUAGUAAAUGGUACGACGUCUUUCAGUAAUCAAUUGAGUCCAAUUGUUGCUAAUGUCAGUCCAAAUCAACAAAUGACAUUUAAUACGUCUCAAGUUCGACCCUCUAAUAUUCAAGGGCAGCAAGAGUUUAUUCAGAUGAAUGGGCAAACGUUGAUGGUUCCCUGUGGUACAGCACAAAAUAUUGCCGUAUCUUCGGCUUCAAAUCAACAGAAUACAACAUUUGUACAACAAAAUACUACAAUAGUUCAACAACAAACAACUAUGGUUUCAAACAAUCAAAUUCCUGACUUUCAAUCAGUUACUACAAACAAUGGAAAUAAUGUAGACCAGUCUUUAAACCUUGACCACAAUCAGUCCUACAUUUUAAGUGCUGGAAUGAUUCAGGGAAAGUGUCCAGCUUCGCCAAAGAGUACUAUCAGUUCUCCUUCGUCGGAACAGAGUGUAGAGCAACGACAACCGCAGUUUAAUUUGACAAGCACUAAUGGUAACAAGAAUAGUUCAGGAAUCGAUACCAAUGGACAACAGAACGACCAACAUAGUCCAUCAAUGGUUAGACAUUCUGUCUCUACACAAACAGCUGGUAAUCAAGCAAACAAUACCCAGUCGACUCUCAUGAGACAAGGAUCACCUCCGGAUACCACUACUCAUAGUCCGGGAAAUAGUCAACGAUCCAAUAGUCCUGCUGUUGAUACAACCACUCAUGGAGCUGCUUCACCGGCACCUCCUAUUACUGCGAGACAUCAUUCAUCAUCAACGCCGAUGGUUCACUGUAUAUCGAGUAGCGAACCCGAUUCCGGAGACAUUCAAACUGCGACAGAUGACUGGAGAAUUCAAGGAAUAGCUACGAAGGAAAUGACUCUAAGUCAAGCUGGUCUGCAUGGAAAAACUCUUGUGGAAUCAACAGUGACGACAGGCAUCCAGAUCUUUACGCCAGAGACGUUGAAGCAAACCGAGGGUGUGGUGAGCACAGUGAGGUGCGAAGGCAGAGAGCAUACCCUCGGUCGGGGAAUCAAGCGAAAGCUGGACUCCAUCCACUCUAUGCACUCGACUCUGCAUGAAGACCAGGAUGUUAAUUACAACUGGCAGUAUCAUCAAGAAUAGCACUUAUGAACAUUAAAACAUGAUAAUAACGUUCACAUAUUCACGACCAUACAAAGCAUACAUCAGUGGUUCGUUAAGAAGUGAUUGAUGAAAAUGAAAAGCUCAUUACUCUUACAUUCUUGCUUUGUCUUCUUCCCAACAUUCAAAAUCUCAUUAUUCCAUGAAUAUGAAUAUACUUUAAUAGAAGUCGUAAAUUAAAUAUGCAACUGGAGAAUGCAAUUCAAGAGGCAAUGGCAGAACUGGAUAAAAUGGAGAAUAACAGAGAAUCUCACAAAGAAAUCAGAAAACAAUUUGUACAAAGCACAAGAUCAUCAA